UUCUUAUCAAGAGAGGCGGAGGGAUAGGCCCGAUGAAGCCCGGCAACCGGUUUGUAUGUGAAGAUGUCACAAUCUGAUCAUUACAAAUGUCAUGGUGCUAAUUCCUUCGGAACCGAAUUUACGGCUCUGACAGAUGAGAA
rnacentral:ncRNA from 2 species